AGCUCUGAAACGAUAACAAGAUUAUCUCUCUCAUAUUACAGGAAACGAAUAUACUAUGCUUUCUGCACUGAAAUAAGUUGAGGUUGUUUUGCAGUUCUGGGAUGAUCUAUAGUCACUAUAGCAAAUUCAGUGAUACACGUAAAUUGCUAAUCAUGAAUGGCUUCCUGGAGGAAAACAGAAACAUCCCCCAGAAACUACAGUACAGGAGACAGCAGUUGCUUUUUUUGCUAUGUUACAUGAAGAAAUGCAGUAAUUUGCAUACACAUCCUGCAUCUAUAAGACCUCAGCGAUACAAAAUUAGCAAAAGCAGCAUCUCUCAGCUCAGCCAUACGGAUGGGAGUAACGAAGAUUUCUUGUUUUAAUCUCAAGUGCUUGUGAUUUUAAUUUCUCUCUUCUGAUCGUUUUAAGUGGACAAACUGCAGCUAAGAAAUCCCAGUAGAAGCAAGCGAUGGAUUGAGAAAGAUUGGGCAGCACUUCUGUGCUUUUCAAUAAAAAAGGGGCUGUGAGAAGUCCUGGCACGCAGCUGUAAACGGAAAGGAAGCUGACCUCCUCCUCUCAUGCUGGUUUAAUCUGUUCCCACCUGCCAACACCUACUAAUGAAUGUUUGCCCGUGUAAAGCUCCUUACUUAUUAGCUACAUUCUGUGAGGGCAAAUGUUAAUUAAUAAAAUUGGCUAGGUAGGGGGAGGGAUAAGCACAAACUACUACUGACUCAACUCCAACAUGCAAUUUACAUCAAUUGAUCAGAAUGACUUGAUUCUUUUUCUAAAUUAAGAAUAGAAUCUAUUAAUAAACAAAACCACAACUGGUAACAAAUUGACAGAUGGUUUUAUGCUUGGCUUUAGGGAAAAAUUACCAUGAAAAUAGCUGACGACAGUGGCAUUUCAAUGACUUAAAUGGGAGGGACAACUCAUGGGGUCAGAAACAGUAGCUACAGAGAGCUUUCAAUAAAGGCGAAGCAUCUUCUGCCAAGUUCACAGCGAAGCGUGGGCCGCUCACAGACUGAUUCACCAGGCAAAUGUCACAGAACGUCAAGAGUGCUUUUGCAGACGGAGGGCCAAAUUCUGCUCUCAAUUACAUUGGUGUAAAUCUGAAGUAACUACUCAAGUCGGUGGAGUUACUCCAGGUUUUCACCGGAGACAGCAGAAUUAAAUUCUGAACGUAUUUCAAAACUGUUUUGUAGGUUUCUAUUUAGACUGCACCUCAGGAAGUAAAUACCCUCAGCCACAUACUGGCUUGGAAUGCACAUAAUCCAAGUGCUGUGGCCAGGAGGGGAUCAAUGGGAUAGAAACUAUACAUGGUGCCUCUUGCUUCCCUUCAAACCCACAGAGAUGCAGCUUCACAGUCUCUCUGCAGCCAGAGCUGGGGAGGGGUAUCCCAGGGCAGGGUGUAAGGCCUGGAGGUGUGGUCCAUACACUUCAGCAUAUCUACAUCUUUCUAUUGGUUCACAGACCAGGUUAUUUCUGCUACUGACAGGAGUAGUCUGUAUUGUGAGGCCAAGGAAGGGAAUAAUAUGCUGCCUUUUAAUGUUAACAUGUACCCAUCUGAAUGAAGGCCAUGUAAUGUGAGCUUUGUGCCUGUUGCCCUAAUGAGGCCUGUGCAUUGGGGAGGCCCAGUUAGGGUGUCCUGUUAGCUGUGUGCACUGGGGUAGCUCUGUUCAAGUGGUCCAUUUAUGCAUUAGGGUGGCCCAACGGAUAACUUGUAUCAGCAGAAAAAACUAAUCUAUAUCUCCUCCAGCAUAACACAAUCAGAGCCUCUUAGCCUUUCUUAAGGAGCUGCGUACACAGCUCCACAACCACCACUAACUAGCAUCUUUGUUGACUGUCUCAGCGAAGAGCCCAAGGACUGAAUGAGCCCUGGAGACUAAACUGCUCCCUUAACCCUAGAGGUUGUCCAGCGAGGUCAGGCUGUGAAGCACAAAGGCAAUGCUAUGUGGCUGUGCUGUCCUUCUGUGGCUAUUCUAGAGGACUUCGAUCUCCAGAGCCGUUGGCAUGAUAACUUCUACCAGCACUAAAUUCAUUAAAAAAAAGGUGAUGGAAAAAUAAAUAAGAGAGUUAAAUGUUUGGACUCUACCUUUUUCUUGAGCCAUCUCCUUCAGGCAGAAGUAAAUGACCCUUGCGCCCAGACUGAAGCCAAUCAAAGUGACAGGUCGUUUGCCCUAGGGAACAAAGAGGCACAGGCACAAAUGAGGAGGGUAUGGCUGUCAAACAGUCUGCUAGACCUGGAAAGAAAGGGCUGGCCGGUGGGGGUGCCUAGGCUCUGAUCCAGCAAAUCAUGUAAGCAUGUGCUGAAUGUUAAGUAUGUGAGCCGUUCCAUUGACUUCAAUGAUAUUACUGAUGUUCUUAAAGUUAAGCACAGUUACAUUUAACUUAAAAUUAAGUGCUUUGCUGGAUAAGGGUCCAAAUGCACUCUUCCUGCUUUAUUAAUAUCAAGUUUCUCACACAUCAUCUAAGGAAGCUCCUUUUCACUGAAUGGUCCAUUUGCUAUGCACUGCGCCUUACCAACACUAUUUUAAUUUCAAAGAAUGCAAAGCCCCAUAUAACAACAUGGAAAUGAGUGAGGUGCUGGAACACAUUUUCAAGGCAGGAAAUCAAGUCCAACCCGCAAGCAAUUAUUUUCAGGGCUGUAAAAUACCAUUAGAGCAACUGCUGCCAUUUUCCUAGCAAGGAGAGAAACUUGUUUCCGCCUUACAAAAGCAUUCUCUCUCCCGGGGCUCCCAACCACCAAGAAAUGAAAUGUAAUGCCAUCUUUGGCAAAGAUGAAGACGAACAGGCAGUGCCAUGCCUUUCCGAUGCUUGCGGAGUUAAUAGACCUGGCACGUGAAAUAGGCUCCCAUGGCUUUUAACACUGCCAGCCAGUCAAUUUUCCAUGAAAAGGCAAACAGUGGGGUGUCUACAUAUCUAGCCUCUAUUAACAGAUGUUUUACCAGUUCUAGCCAAGAGGAGAUAUGGAUGCGAGCAAGCUGGUUUAAACUUAAUCCAGAUAAACCAGAGCUAAUGCUGGUUUGAUGGGGAACCGUUUAGAGGAUUCAGCUCCUUCUACUGAACAUGUGUUGGACAUUUGUUAAUGAGGUUCCCAACCUUGGUCUUGGGGAUUUGUGGUGAUCUGUGUGACAGAUAUGGCAAUUUUCUGCAAUAUCAUUGGGAGACCUUAUUUAAUUACAUUUAAGUGUCUGUGGGGUCCAUUGUAUGAAAUGAAUGGCGUAUUAUUGUGGGCCGGGAUUCUAUGUAACCUCUCGAGGUGGGAGAUGUGACAGAUGUGAGUCCUGGGGGUUCAAAGGACUAUUGUGAACAAUGUGCCAGACAAGAAUGGUCUUUUGGAACAGAAAAUGUUAAAGGGAUUUUCCUGGGGAUAUCUAUCUCGGGAUAGUUUAGUGCAAAUACCCCACCUCCAGUUAUGCAAAACCCCAGCCUUUUGAAGCCAUGCCUUUGGGAAUGAGCCACUGUUUGCUGUUCAUGCGUUACAUGAGGCCAAGAUCAAAGGCCCAAGAUGCAUAAAAGAAAGACUAAACUAGUGGUUCUGGUUCUGAACCUGAGACUGUUAUGAACUUGUAGUCACGGAAAAAAAACAUUUCUGGGUUUUGAAGGACUGACACGUACCAGAGCCGAGGUUGGAGAUGGGAUGACCUUUGGUAAGCUUUUUAGCAUGCAUGUUCUUGUAUUGUUUUCAUAUGUUUUCUCUGCAAUGCUUUCACCUUAAGAAUAAACGUGGUUGCUUAUGAAGAACUGUGUGGUAACUUAUAACUGUGGGCCAUUAUGCUAUUCAUAGCCUCUGGAGAGAAAGCAAACCGCAGAAUCUAGCUUGUUUAGGCACUCUGGCUUGCUGGCAACUGUGUAUAGAUAGGCAACUGUGCAGUGUGGAAAAACCCUGGUCAGGAGAGAGACACACCUGAGUCUCUACCAAGAGAGGUAACAGCUGGGAGCCUGUUUUCUCUUUCAGGUGACAUUGUAAAUAAGAAGCAGGUAGCA